rnacentral:tRNA from 1 species
CUGGUCGGUGGCCGAGGGCGACUGGCCGGCGGUCCCGGCCGAGAUGGCCGGCCUGCUGGCUCCGCCGAUCGUGGUCGGCGUCGCCCGGG